CGCAUACGGUGGAUGCCUUGGCAGUCAGAGGCGAUGAAAGACGUGGUAGCCUGCGAUAAGCUUCGGGGAGUCGGCAAACAGACUUUGAUCCGGAGAUCUCUGAAUGGGGAAACCCACCUAGCAUAAGCUGGGUAUCUUGCACUGAAUACAUAGGUGUAAGAGGCGAACCAGGGGAACUGAAACAUCUAAGUACCCUGAGGAAAAGAAAUCAACCGAGAUUCCCUUAGUAGUGGCGAGCGAACGGGGAUUAGCCCUUA
rnacentral:rRNA from 2 species